CAGUCGCCACGGUAAUACGGAGGGUGCAAGCGUUAAUCGGAAUUACUGGGCGUAAAGCGUGCGCAGGCGGUUUUGUAAGACAGAGGUGAAAUCCCCGGGCUCAACCUGGGAACUGCCUUUGUGACUGCAAGGCUAGAGUACGGCAGAGGGGGAUGGAAUUCCGCGUGUAGCAGUGAAAUGCGUAGAUAUGCGGAGGAACACCGAUGGCGAAGGCAAUCCCCUGGGCCUGUACUGACGCUCAUGCACGAAAGCGUGGGGAGCAAACAGGAUUAGAUACCCCAGUAGCCCUGUCUCUUAUACA
rnacentral:rRNA from 1 species